rnacentral:rRNA from 1 species
AUUGCAGCGACGCGAGCGGUUCGCCGCCUGCGACGUCGCGAGAAGUCCAUUGAACCUUAUCAUUAGAGGAAGAAGUCGAAACAAGCUUUUCAUAGGUGAACCUGCGGAAGGAUCAUUA